rnacentral:rRNA from 1 species
UCUACGGGCGGCAGCAGUGGGGAAUAUUGGACAAUGGGCGAAAGCCUGAUCCAGCCAUGCCGCGUGUGUGAAGAAGGCCUUCGGGUUGUAAAGCACUUUCAGUGGGGAAGAAAGCCUUGGGGCUAAUACCCUCGAGGAAGGACAUCACCCACAGAAGAAGCACCGGCUAACUCCGUGCCAGCAGCCGCGGUAAUACGGAGGGUGCGAGCGGUAAUCGGAAUUACUGGGCGUAAAGCGCGCGUAGGCGGUCUGAUAAGCCGGUUGUGAAAGCCCCGGGCUCAACCUGGGAACGGCAUCCGGAACUGUCAGGCUAGAGUGCAGGAGAGGAAGGUAGAAUUCCCGGUGUAGCGGUGAAAUGCGUAGAGAUCGGGAGGAAUACCAGUGGCGAAGGCGGCCUUCUGGACUGACACUGACGCUGAGGUGCGAAAGCGUGGGUAGCAAACAGGAUUAGAUACCCGGGUAGUC